rnacentral:tRNA from 1 species
GCCUGGGUGGCUCAGUCGGUUGAGCGUCCGACUUCAGCUCAGGUCAUGAUCUCACGGCUCGUGGGUUUGAGCCCACGUCGGGCU